rnacentral:rRNA from 1 species
GUAACACGUAAGGAACCUGCCCCAAGGAUUGGGAUAACUCCGAGAAAUCGGAGCUAAUACCGAAUAGUUCUUCAGACCGCAUGGUCUGAUGAUGAAAGGUGCUUCGGCGUCACCUUGGGAUGGCCUUGCGGUGCAUUAGCUAGUUGGUGGGGUAAUGGCCCACCAAGGCGACGAUGCAUAGCCGACCUGAGAGGGUGAUCGGCCACACUGGGACUGAGACACGGCCCAGACUCCUACGGGAGGCAGCAGUAGGGAAUCUUCCACAAUGGACGGAAGUCUGAUGGAGCAACGCCGCGUGAGUGAUGAAGGUUUUCGGAUCGUAAAACUCUGUUGUAAGGGAAGAACAGGUAUGAGAGGUAAUGCUCAUGCCAUGACGGUACCUUGCGAGAAAGCCACGGCUAACUACGUGCCAGCAGCCGCGGUAAUACGUAGGUGGCAAGCGUUGUCCGGAAUUAUUGGGCGUAAAGCGCGCGCAGGCGGCCUUUUAAGUCUGAUGUGAAAGCCCCCGGCUCAACCGGGGAGGGUCAUUGGAAACUGGAAGGCUUGAGUACAGAAGAGAAGAGUGGAAUUCCAUGUGUAGCGGUGAAAUGCGUAGAGAUGUGGAGGAACACCAGUGGCGAAGGCGACUCUUUGGUCUGUAACUGACGCUGAGGCG